ensembl:lncRNA
GAGUUUUGUUCUUGUCACUCAGGCUGGAGUGCAAUGGUGUCAUCUCGGCUCGCUGCAACCUCUGCCUUCUGGAUUCAAGCAAUUCUCCUGCUUCAGCCUUCAGAGUAGCUGGGAUUACAGGAUUGCACCACCACGUCUAGCUAAUUUUUGUAUUUUUAGUAGAGAUGGGGUUUCACCAUGUUGGCCAGGCUGGUCUGGAACUCCUGAGCCACUGCACCCAGUCAAGAGGGAGAUUUUCAAUCAAUAACUAUAAUUGUGAUGAAUGCCAGAAAGAAGAAUGUGUGUGAUGGGGAAGGGACCUAAGUUAUUGUCUCAUAUUUUAACACUUUCACAGGCGAUAACUAUAAACUUAGAAGCUUAAAACAACACACACUUUUAAGCCAAUUUUGGCAAGCUAGGAGUUGAGCACAUUUUAGCGGGUCCUGUGCUUGGGAUCUCACGCUAAGCAGCUGGGCUGCAUCCUCAUCUGAGGCUCCACCAGGGCAGAAUCCAUUUCCUGGGACCCGGUUGGCAAGGGCCCAGCUUUUUGCUUCCUUGCCUACGGGGCCCCUCUAAAGGUCUUUUCUCAGCACAUCAUCUCCUCCGGCAGCCUGCAUGAACCUUUCUCUCAAGUGUGAGAAGGUGAUGCACUGUGACAGUGACAUCCCAUUGCUUUUGCCAGGCUCUAUGGGUUAGAAGCCAGUCACCGGUUUUGCUCGUACCCAAGGUCAGGAAGACUAUACAAGGGCAUAGGUUAUUGGGGGGUCAGCCACUUUAGGGUGUGGCUGCCACCACAGAACUUGGUGAGAAUUUAAGGGUUGGUAGGAGCUGGCCAGGUACAGGGGUGAGGGUGUGUCAGGCAGGGGUGAGGGCAUGGAGGGGGAUGCAGAGGCCUGCACCCUGGAAUGUCCUUUCACUCCCUGAGGUUUUGUUCUCCUGAUCCCUGAGUACAUCCCAGAACACGGUGGGGCCCUAGCAGGGGAGAGGUAGGGAAGCAUGUGUUGUUCAUCUGGGGAGCUUGUUAGGCAAAUCAGAUUAGGGGCCAGGCUUUCAGUGGUGGGUGUGAGCGUGGGAGUGAUGAGUGUUCAGGUGUGUGUGGGAAGAGCGAUGGGGAUGAGGUCAGCCUCAGCCACCAUGAAGACCUUAACUGUGCAUCCACCCAUCCCAGCAGUAUCCCUGAGUGAGUGCCUUCAGGGUGCAGGUCCUGUUUUACACAGGUCCCAGUAGCUGGGACCACAAGUACGCGCCACCACGAUCGGCUAAGUUUUUGUAUUUUUAGCAGAGAUGGGGUUUCAUCUUGUUGGCCAGGCUGGUUUCGAACUCCUGGCCUCAAGUGAUCCACCUGCCUCGGCCCCACAAAGUACUGGGAUUACAGGCGCGAGCCACCGCGCCCGGCCCUACUUCACUCCUAAAGCCCACCAUACGUGCUUCCAAAUGUUUGCUGAAUCACAAAGUGAACGAGUGAAUGGGACUACGUGACUUCGGGCAGCAGGCAAUCCUAUUCCUUGGACCUCAGUUUCACUUUUUGUAAAGCAAGCCUGUCUCUCGCUCUCUGCCCUAAAAGCCUGAGUUCUGGGCUUGAGAUGAGCGCGUCCUGUAGACCAGACUGCAGGUGGACGUUGAGCUGGGUCUUCUAGGAGGCCAGGAUCCGGCCAGCUCUUGGGUCCGGUCCUCCCGCGGAACCCUGUACGCCCAAUCCCAGCACCGCCCCGCCCAGCCUCCAUUUGUUCCCCUAGGCCCCGCCC